UGGGGAAUCUUGCACAAUGGAGGCAACUCUGAUGCAGCGACGCCGCGUGAGCGAUGAAGCCCUUCGGGUGUAAGCUCUUUCGACGGGAAAGAUUAUGACGGUACCCGGAGAAGAAGCUGCGGCUAACUACGUGCCAGCAGCCGCGGUAAUACGUAGGCAGCGAGCGUUGUUCGGAAUUACUGGGCGUAAAGAGUGUGUAGGCGGUGUUCCAAGUCUGGUGUGAAAUCUCCCGGCUCAACUGGGAGGGUGCGCCGGAAACUGGAAUGCUAGAGGGUGGGAGAGGUAAGCGGAGUUCCUGGUGUAGCGGUGAAAUGCGUAGAUAUCAGGAGGAACACCUGUGGUGUAGACAGCUUACUGGACCACUUCUGACGCUGAGACACGAAAGCGUGGGUAGCAAACAGGAUUAGAUACCC
rnacentral:rRNA from 1 species